rnacentral:rRNA from 1 species
AGAGUUUGAUUCUGGCUCAGAACGAACGCUGGCAGCGUGGAUUAGGCAUGCAAGUCGAACGGGAAUCUGCGGUGUUCAAUUCUUUGGAAAAGAACUCGCGGAGGAGAGUGGCGGAAGGGUGAGUAACGCGUGGCAAUCUACCUCUGAGUUGGGGAUAACCCCGCGAAAGCGGGGCUAAUACCGAAUGUGGUCUUCCGGCGUAUGUCGGGAUGAUUGAAGGUGGGGCUGAGCUUCGGCUCACCUGCCGCUCGGAGAGGAGCCCGCGUGCCAUUAGCUUGUUGGUGAGGUUAAGGCUCACCAAGGCUUACGGCUAGCUGGUCUGAGAGGAUGGUCAGCCACACUGGGACUGAGACACUGCCCAGACUCCUACGGGAGGCUGCAGUCGAGGAUCAUUGUCAAUGCGCGAAAGCGUGAUCAUGCAACGCUGCGUGGAGGAUGAAGGCUUUUGGGUUGUAAACUCCUGUCAUUCGGGAAAAAUCUCGGGCCGGAUAAUACCCGGUUCGAUUGAUGUUACCGGAAGAGGAAGCCACGGUUAAUUCUGUGCCAGUAGCCGCGGUAAUACAGAGGUGGCGAGCGUUGUUCGGAUUUACUGGGCGUAAAGGGUGCGUAGGUGGUCGCGUGUGUUGGAUGUGAAAGCCCACCGUUUAACGGUGGAACUGCAUCCGAAACUGCGUGACUAGAGUACAGGAGGGGAGAGCGGAACUCUUGGUGUAGCGGUGAAAUGCGUUGAUAUCAAGAAGAACACCGGUGGCGUAGGCGGCUCUCUGGAAUGUUACUGACUCUGAAGCACGAAAGCUGGGGGAGCAAACAGGUUUAGAUAUCCUGGUAGUCCCAGCCGUAAACGGUGUGCACUUGGUGUGGGGGGUAUUGACCCCCCCCGUGCCGGAGCUAACGCGUUAAGUGCACCGCCUGGGGAGUACGGCCGUAAGGUUAAAACUCAAAGAAAUUGACGGGGGCCCGCACAAGCGGAGGAGCAUGUGGCUUAAUUCGAUGCAAUGCGAAGAACCUUACCAGGGCUUGACAUGCAGCUGCACGUCCGCCGAAAGGUGGAAAGCCUUUGAGGGUGCUGCACAGGUGCUGCAUGGCUGUCGUCAGUUCGUGCCGUGAGGUGUUGGGUUAAGUCCCGCAACGAACGCAACCCUUGUGUUUAGUUGCUACCGCAGGUGAUGAGCCUGCGGGCACUCUAGACAGACUGCCCGUAUAAGCGGGAGGAAGGUGGGGACGACGUCAAGUUAGUAUGCCCCUUACGCCCUGGGCUGCACACGUGCUACAAUGGUCGGUACAGAGGGACGCAAUGCCGCGAGGUGGAGCAAAUCCCCAAAACCGGCCUCAGUUCGGAUUGGAGUCUGCAACUCGACUCCAUGAAGUUGGAUUCGCUAGUAACGGCGUAUCAGCUACGGCGCCGUGAAUACGUUCCCGGGCCUUGUACACAUUGCCCGUCACAUCAUGAAAGCCGUCUGCACCCGUAGUCGCUGAGCCAACCCGUAAGGGAGGCAGGCGCCGAAGGUGCGGGUGGUGAUUGGGAUGAAGUUGGAAUAAGGUA